rnacentral:rRNA from 1 species
CCUACGGGUGGCUGCAGUAGGGAAUAUUGCUCAAUGGGGGAAACCCUGAAGCAGCAACGCCGCGUGGAGGAUGAAGGUUUUCGGAUUGUAAACUCCUUUUGUUAGAGAAGAUAAUGACGGUAUCUAACGAAUAAGCACCGGCUAACUCCGUGCCAGCAGCCGCGGUAAUACGGAGGGUGCAAGCGUUACUCGGAAUCACUGGGCGAAAAGAGCGCGUAGGCGGGACAGCAAGUCAGAUGGACAAUCAUAUGGCUUAACCAUAGAACUGCAUUUGAAAUUGUAGUAUAGAGUAUGGGAGAGGUAGGUGGAAUGCGUGGUGUAGGGGUAAAAACCGUAGAGAUCAAGAGGAAUACUCAUUGCGAAGGCGACCUGCUAGAACAUAACUGACGCUGAUGCGCGAAAGCGUGGGGAGCAAACAGGAUUAGAUACCCUUGUAGUC